UACAUAUUGUCAAAGAGAUUACUACUUAUAUUCGGUGAAGAAUUAUUUUUUAAUAAUGAUAGUGAUUGACUUACGCAUUUAUAAGGAUAAUAAUUAGAUUCAAAACGAUUUUUUCAAAUUAUUGAACAAAUUGUUAAACAAACGUACCCAUCUUCUACAUCAUUGAAUUUAUAUAAUUUUCAUCUACAAUACCUCCUACAAAAAGAAGAUGGUGAGCGAGAUUAGGAUUGAAAGUUCACUCAAUACAUCAACAAUAGACACUUCUGUGUCUUUAGGUUUCUCAAAAAUGUGACUUGUGAAGUCUGAUAAAGUGUAUUCGAAUAAGGCAGUUUUGCAAUAGAGGGAGAAUAAACUGAAGAUGUUGCUAAAAGAAAUGCGUUAGUUUGUAGUGUACAAUUUCCUCUAGAAAUUGUAAAAGUUAUAAACGAUGUUUUAUAACGGAUAACCAUAAAGGAUAAUGAAAAAAAUGAAAAUACGAUUUCGAUUGAAGAAGUAUGUCAUGGAUCAAAUAUCAGAAUAUUAUAGAAUACCAGAAUAAGAUACAAUGAACAUAACCUAGAUGUUAUAAAAAUGCUGUAUGUUCAACUUUCUUCCAUACAGUAUCAACGGAUGACUAGAUGCUUCAAAACUAUUCUUCAAGUGAUUGAUGUAAUUAUAUUAUAUGUCUCGUUCUCGAUAAUUAUAAUGUAGUCAUCCUUGGCAUGAUAAAAUCACAACGUCUGACGCAUAAGGUUUUUUAAAAAAAUAACGUCUGAAGUUUUUAGGUAAGGAUCCUGAGUAAGGAUCCACAACUAAAAGAAACGUGGUUGUAAUCGAAAAAUAAAGACCUGCCAGAGAAAAAUAAAAAAGAAAUCUUAGAAUCAUAUAAAAUUACACUGAAUCGACCAAAAUGAACCUUGAGAUACUACCACUGUUAUCAGAUGUUGCUAAAAAGAGAGACCAACACUUCUUGGAUACUCAGAAAUGUGUCGGUACCAUUGUAUGGGCGUUGGGUGCGGCAGUUUCUAUUUUAAUAGAUCCUCCGAAAGACAGCCUAGAUGAGAAUAUAUUUACGGAUUAUAUCAAUCACGCUGGAUAGAUAUUAACGGAUCUCUUUCUUCAACAGACUAAAGCACGAAAAUCAUUUAUUACAUCACAGCUAAACAAAAAUAUUAAACCAGUGAUAGACUCGAUCGUUUCCAAUGAACAGUUGUACGAGAACAAGCUCAAGGAAAUGGUUAUAGAU